rnacentral:misc_RNA from 1 species
AACCUAGCACACCUGCGGUGUGUACCUGCGGAAGGAUCAUCAAAGAAUUUUCCAAAGAGAAAAUUGAGUUGCUCCUUCUUUUCUUGUAAAAGAGAGAGAAGCGCUCUUUUUUCUCCAAACAAACGAUCACAACUAUUGAAAAAAUAAUUGACUUGGUUGAUGAGAAAUUAUAAGUGUUUGCCUGAUAAUUUGAUGAUUUGGAAACAAGAGAAAGAAAUACAACUUUUAACAAUGGAUCUC